GACGAAGGAUGCAAGCGUUAUCCGGAUUCAUUGGGUUUAAAGGGAGCGUAGGUGGCCUUAUAAGUCAGUGGUGAAAUCUCUGGGCUUAACCCAGAAAUUGCCAUUGAUACUGUAGGGCUUGAGUAUAGUUGCCGUUGGCGGAAUAUGACAUGUAGUGGUGAAAUACAUAGAGAUGUCAUAGAACACCGAUUGCGAAGGCAGCUGACAAAACUAUAACUGACACUGAGGCUCGAAAGUGCGGGGAUCAAACAGG
rnacentral:rRNA from 1 species